rnacentral:rRNA from 1 species
UGGGGAAUUUUGGACAAUGGGCGAAAGCCUGAUCCAGCAAUGCCGCGUGCAGGAAGAAGGCCUUCGGGUUGUAAACUGCUUUUGUACGGAACGAAAAGGCUCUUUCUAAUAAAGAGGGCCCAUGACGGUACCGUAAGAAUAAGCACCGGCUAACUACGUGCCAGCAGCCGCGGUAAUACGUAGGGUGCGAGCGUUAAUCGGAAUUACUGGGCGUAAAGCGUGCGCAGGCGGUUCUAUAAGACAGAUGUGAAAUCCCCGGGCUCAACCUGGGAAUGGCAUUUGUGACUGUAGAGCUAGAGUACGGUAGAGGGGGAUGGAAUUCCGCGUGUAGCAGUGAAAUGCGUAGAUAUGCGGAGGAACACCGAUGGCGAAGGCAAUCCCCUGGACCUGUACUGACGCUCACGCACGAAAGCGUGGGGAGCAAACAGGAUUAGAUACCCCCGUAGUCCCUGAGCGGGCUGGCAAGGCGCAU